GGGAAUAUUGGGCAAUGGGGGAAACCCUGACCCAGCGACGCCGCGUGAGGGAAGAAGGUUUUCGGAUUGUAAACCUCUGUCCUUGGUGACGAUAAUGACGGUAGCCAAGGAGGAAGCCACGGCUAACUACGUGCCAGCAGCCGCGGUAAUACGUAGGUGGCGAGCGUUGUCCGGAAUUACUGGGUGUAAAGGGAGCGUAGGCGGGAGAGCAAGUCGACUGUGAAAUCUAUGGGCUUAACCCAUAGCUGCGAUCGAAACUGUUCAUCUUGAGUGAAGUAGAGGCAGGCGGAAUUCCUAGUGUAGCGGUGAAAUGCGUAAAUAUUAGGAGGAACACCAGUGGCGAAGGCGGCCUGCUGGGCUUUAACUGACGCUGAGGCUCGAAAGCGUGGGUAGCAAACAGG
rnacentral:rRNA from 1 species